rnacentral:lncRNA from 1 species
GGACGAUACACUUUUGGAGUAAGGCACGCUCCUUCCUCACCUCUGGACCUCCACUCUGCUCCGCCUCCCCUGACUCUGUGUCUCAGCUGCCCCAAGAGGCCCAUGGGUCCGUUCACCGUGCUCCACCUCCAAUGCCACUACCCUCUCUGAGCUGCCCGGAUGACGAGGAUGGUCCGUCAGCUGUGCGCCCGCGGCUCUUACUGGCCCCCGCACCAGAGUCCACACUGCAGCUAGAGUGACCUUAACACACGUUCAGCAGCUGCCUGCUCACUGGUGUCUGAAGAGAAGGCUAUCCAAAGCCAAACUUGAAGGUAGACGAAGUCACGGACCCACCGUUUCUUGAGGAGCUCUUAUGUGCCAGGAGCCGUCUCGUUUGAUCAUCAUGCAACCCUCCCGGGUCUGUACUUGGGAAACCAAGGAGUUUAAACAGACCAUCUCCAGCGUUGACCAAGGUUUUAUUUAUUUACUUAAAUGUUUCUUUAUUUGUGUGUGUGUGAGAGAGAGAGAGCAUGAGCAGGGGAGGGGCAGAGAGAGAGAGAGAGAGAGAGAGACAGAAUCCAAAGCAGGCUCCAGGCUCUGA